rnacentral:tRNA from 1 species
GUCCCCGUAGCCCAAUCGGUAGAGGCACCUGAUUUAAGUCCAGGGUAGUGUCAGUUCGAGUCUGACCGGGGACACCG